GGAAUCUUGCGCAAUGGUCGAAAGACUGACGCAGCGACGCCGCGUGCGGGAGGAAGCCCUUCGGGGUGUAAACCGCUGUUACUCGGGACGAACUUCCCGAUUCAUCGGGAUUGACGGUACCGGGGGAGGCAGCACCGGCUAACUCUGUGCCAGCAGCCGCGGUAAUACAGAGGGUGCGAGCGUUGUCCGGAAUCACUGGGCGUAAAGGGCGCGUAGGCGGCUUUUCAAGCGUGCGGUGAAAGCUCGGGGCUUAACUCCGAGUCUGCCGUGCGAACUGGGAGGCUUGAGUCUGGUAGAGGUCGAUGGAAUUCCGGGUGUAGCGGUGGAAUGCGUAGAGAUCCGGAAGAACACCGGUGGCGAAGGCGGCUUCCUGGACCGAUCACUGACGCUGAGGCGCGAAAGCUAGGGGAGCAAAC
rnacentral:rRNA from 1 species